rnacentral:lncRNA from 1 species
GAUUGAAUGCUUGGACGACCAUCCUAAUAUGAAGAAAAUGAGGAAGACAGAGGAGCCUGGUGAUAGCAGCAACGACAGGGAUUUUUUCUUGGAUAAGAACGGUAACGGCGACAUGCCUUUGGAAGGUUCAAAAGGCCACCUGCUGAUUGGUGGAGUCUGGAGAAGCAACGACAGGGAUUUAUUCUUGGAUAAGAACGGUAACGGCGACAUGCCUUUGGAAGGUUCAAAAGGCCACCUGCUGAUUGGUGGAGUCUGGAGAAAGGUUUCAAAAGAGGAGCUGAAUGAUAUUGCGAGAGCUGUGAAGAUUUUGAUUUAAUCAAAACAUUGUGAGAUGGCUUCGCUUAGGCAGGGGGCUGUCUUACAGAAACAACAACAAUCCAGUAAUACUCCCACUGGAAGUGUAGAGUGUACUCACAGGCUGUUUUUGAAAACAAAAGGUCUGUAACAAAACCAUAAACAUGCAAAAUAAAAAUGGUUUUGUUUGUGUUGCACGUCUGUAAAUUUUUUUUUCAAUGGAUUUUGCUCGCAAUCUCCAAGAAAUUUUAAUUUAUCUGUCACCUGCUUAACACCAUUGUUAAAUUUUAUAUAUUAAUAAUACGAAUUUGAUUAUACUAUAAUCGGC